UACGGAGGGUGCAAGCAUUAAUCGGAUUUAUUGGGCGUAAAGGGCGCGUAGGCGGGAAGAUAAGUCAUAUGUGAAAUUCCGGGGCUCAACCUCGGGCCCGCAUGUGAAACUGUUUUUCUUGAGGGUAGGCGGAGAAAACGGAAUUCCACAAGUAGCGGUGAAAUGCGUAGAUAUGUGGAAGAACACCGGUGGCGAAAAGCGGUUUUCUAGCUUAUUCCUGACGCUGAGGCGCGAAAGCAAGGGGAGCAAAGCAGG
rnacentral:rRNA from 1 species